AUACGUAGGUGACAAGCGUUAUCCGGAUUUACUGGGCGUAAAGGGCGUGUAGGCGGUCUUGCAAGUCAGAAGUGAAAUUCCUGAGCUCAACUCGGGCGCUGCUUCUGAAACUGCAGGACUUGAGUGCUGGAGGGGAUAGCGGAAUUCCUAGUGGAGCGGUAAAAUGCGCAGAUAUUAGGAAGAACACCGGUGGCGAAGGCGGAUUUCUGGACAGUAACUGACGCUGAGGCGCGAAAGCGUGGGGAGCAAAAAGGAUUAGAUACCCGGGUAGUCCACGCCGUAAACGAUGAAUACUAGGUGUAGGGGGUAUCGACUCCCUCUGUGCCGCAGUUAACACAAUAAGUAUUCCGCCUGGGGAGUACGGCCGCAAGGUUGAAACUCAAAUGAAUUGACGGGG
rnacentral:rRNA from 1 species